UCCCUUUAAAAAACAAUCAAAGUCCAAAACCCAUUUAUUUUUAGUGAAAUGAGCCCAAUCCACAACUUCCUUUGCUGUUGUUGCCAAGUACAGCAGCAAAAUUCGUCCAGCACGCCAUGCUCAAUCAUGCCCUCAGCCACUCUAUUAACUCUUCAUUCACCCAUACCUUCAACUAUUAGCUUCUUCAAUCCUUAAAUGACCUCCCUCCUAAACAAUAAUUUUUACCCAGCUGGAAGAAUUCAUCCGGAACCGCAACAUCAACAUAGCAGACAAAUCACUAAAGGCUUUGUGACCAGGUGGAUUAGCGCUGCUUUCACAAGACAUGUUUAUAUGUGUAUGAUCUUCAGGCUUUGCCUAUCCAGGUUGGCUGGCUGGUGCUAACGGGACUGAGCUGAGGCUAGGGUUCAACUUCUUAUUUAGACUUCCGCUGUAGCAAUAACUCUUAUACAUCUCUUAUUUUCUCAACUUAAGAUGACUUCAUGUCGAGCUUCAAUUUGAAAUUUCUAGUUUUAUGCUAAUUCAUGUCGGUUAUCAGAAACAUGAAACAAAACUUGUGAUCCAAAGGGGCCUAGCCCGACUCGUUAUCUUAUUAUUCAGGUUUUAACAAGGUUUGUCCUUGUUUAUUUUUA